rnacentral:rRNA from 1 species
CUCUCUGUGACUCCUACGGGAGGCAGCAGUGGGGAAUAUUGCACAAUGGGGGAAACCCUGAUGCAGCCAUGCCGCGUGUGUGAAGAAGGCCUUCGGGUUGUAAAGCACUUUCAGUAGGGAGGAAGGUAGUGUAGUUAACACCUGCAUUAUUUGACGUUACCUACAGAAGAAGCACCGGCUAACUCCGUGCCAGCAGCCGCGGUAAUACGGAGGGUGCGAGCGUUAAUCGGAAUUACUGGGCGUAAAGCGCAUGCAGGCGGCCUGUUAAGUCAGAUGUGAAAGCCCGGGGCUUAACCUCGGAAUUGCAUUUGAAACUGGCAGGCUAGAGUCUUGUAGAGGGGGUAGAAUUUCAGGUGUAGCGGUGAAAUGCGUAGAGAUCUGAAGGAAUACCAGUGGCGAAGGCGGCCCCCUGGACAAAGACUGACGCUCAGAUGCGAAAGCGUGGGGAGCAAACAGGAUUAGAUACCCUGGUAG